rnacentral:piRNA from 1 species
UCAAAAGAAUCAAAUACGUACAUUUCCAGGGC